AGGACGAACGCUGGCGGCGUGCCUAACACAUGCAAGUGGAGCGACGAACCGGGCUUCGGCCCGGGGCAAAGCCGCGAACGGGUGAGUAACACGUGGGUAACGUGCCCCGAUGAUUGGGACAACCCGAGGAAACUCGGGCUAAUACCAAAUGUGCCCUCCAGCCAUAAGGCUGUCGGGGAAAGGAAGCUUCGGCCUCCGCAUCGGGAUCGGCCCGCGGCCCAUUAGCUUGUUGGUGAGGUAACGGCUCACCAAGGCGACGAUGGGUAGCUGGUCUGAGAGGACGAUCAGCCACACUGGGACUGAGACACGGCCCAGACUCCUACGGGAGGCAGCAGUGGGGAAUUUUGCGCAAUGGGGGAAACCCUGACGCAGCAACGCCGCGUGGAGGAUGAAGUCCCUUGGGACGUAAACUCCUUUCGAUCGGGACAUAAUGACGGUACCGAGAGAGAAGCCCGGCUAACUCGUGCCAGCAGCCGC
rnacentral:rRNA from 1 species